rnacentral:rRNA from 2 species
CUGGCGGCGUGCCUAAUACAUGCAAGUCGAACGAACUCUGGUAUUGAUUGGUGCUUGCAUCAUGAUUUACAUUUGAGUGAGUGGCGAACUGGUGAGUAACACGUGGGAAACCUGCCCAGAAGCGGGGGAUAACACCUGGAAACAGAUGCUAAUACCGCAUAACAACUUGGACCGCAUGGUCCGAGCUUGAAAGAUGGCUUCGGCUAUCACUUUUGGAUGGUCCCGCGGCGUAUUAGCUAGAUGGUGGGGUAACGGCUCACCAUGGCAAUGAUACGUAGCCGACCUGAGAGGGUAAUCGGCCACAUUGGGACUGAGACACGGCCCAAACUCCUACGGGAGGCAGCAGUAGGGAAUCUUCCACAAUGGACGAAAGUCUGAUGGAGCAACGCCGCGUGAGUGAAGAAGGGUUUCGGCUCGUAAAACUCUGUUGUUAAAGAAGAACAUAUCUGAGAGUAACUGUUCAGGUAUUGACGGUAUUUAACCAGAAAGCCACGGCUAACUACGUGCCAGCAGCCGCGGUAAUACGUAGGUGGCAAGCGUUGUCCGGAUUUAUUGGGCGUAAAGCGAGCGCAGGCGGUUUUUUAAGUCUGAUGUGAAAGCCUUCGGCUCAACCGAAGAAGUGCAUCGGAAACUGGGAAACUUGAGUGCAGAAGAGGACAGUGGAACUCCAUGUGUAGCGGUGAAAUGCGUAGAUAUAUGGAAGAACACCAGUGGCGAAGGCGGCUGUCUGGUCUGUAACUGACGCUGAGGCUCGAAAGUAUGGGUAGCAAACAGGAUUAGAUACCCUGGUAGUCCAUACCGUAAACGAUGAAUGCUAAGUGUUGGAGGGUUUCCGCCCUUCAGUGCUGCAGCUAACGCAUUAAGCAUUCCGCCUGGGGAGUACGGCCGCAAGGCUGAAACUCAAAGGAAUUGACGGGGGCCCGCACAAGCGGUGGAGCAUGUGGUUUAAUUCGAAGCUACGCGAAGAACCUUACCAGGUCUUGACAUACUAUGCAAAUCUAAGAGAUUAGACGUUCCCUUCGGGGACAUGGAUACAGGUGGUGCAUGGUUGUCGUCAGCUCGUGUCGUGAGAUGUUGGGUUAAGUCCCGCAACGAGCGCAACCCUUAUUAUCAGUUGCCAGCAUUAAGUUGGGCACUCUGGUGAGACUGCCGGUGACAAACCGGAGGAAGGUGGGGAUGACGUCAAAUCAUCAUGCCCCUUAUGACCUGGGCUACACACGUGCUACAAUGGAUGGUACAACGAGUUGCGAACUCGCGAGAGUAAGCUAAUCUCUUAAAGCCAUUCUCAGUUCGGAUUGUAGGCUGCAACUCGCCUACAUGAAGUCGGAAUCGCUAGUAAUCGCGGAUCAGCAUGCCGCGGUGAAUACGUUCCCGGGCCUUGUACACACCGCCCGUCACACCAUGAGAGUUUGUAACACCCAAAGUCGGUGGGGUAACCUUUUAGGAACCAGCCGCCUAAGGUGGGACAGAU